rnacentral:rRNA from 1 species
AGCGAACGCUGGCGGCAGGCUUAACACAUGCAAGUCGAGCGGGCCCUUCGGGGUCAGCGGCGGACGGGUGAGUAACGCGUGGGAACGUGCCCUCUGGUUCGGAAUAACUCAGGGAAACUUGAGCUAAUACCGGAUACGCCCUUUUGGGGAAAGGCUUGCUGCCGGAGGAUCGGCCCGCGUCUGAUUAGCUAGUUGGUGGGGUAACGGCCUACCAAGGCGACGAUCAGUAGCUGGUCUGAGAGGAUGAUCAGCCACACUGGGACUGAGACACGGCCCAGACUCCUACGGGAGGCAGCAGUGGGGAAUAUUGGACAAUGGGGGCAACCCUGAUCCAGCCACGCCGCGUGAGUGAUGAAGGCCUUAGGGUUGUAAAGCUCUUUUAUCCGGGACGAUAAUGACGGUACCGGAGGAAUAAGCCCCGGCUAACUUCGUGCCAGCCGCCGCCGUAA